rnacentral:misc_RNA from 1 species
GAUGAAGAACGCAGCGAAAUGCGAUAAGUAAUGUGAAUUGCAGAAUUCAGUGAAUCAUCGAAUAUUUGAACGCACAUUGCGCCCGCCAGUAUUCUGGCGGGCAUGCCUGUUCGAGCGUCAUUACAACCCUCAGGCCCCCGGGCCUGGCGUUGGGGAUCGGCGGAAGCCCCCUGUGGGCACACGCCGUCCCUCAAAUACAGUGGCGGUCCCGCCGCAGCUUCCAUUGCGUAGUAGCUAACACCUGGCAACUGGAGAGCGGCGCGGCCAUGCCGUAAAACACCCAACUUCUGAAUGUUGACCUCGAAUCAGGUAGGAAUACCCGCUGAACUUAAGCAUAUCAAUAAGCGGAGGA